UGCCUCAUCUAGCAGUGAUUCCCAGAACAGGCUUGCAUUCAUGGAAACCACUUUCUGUAUACACACACACGAUCACGCUGGGGGAAGCUAAGCAAGUCCAAGAAAACACUCCGUAAGUAGAACGUUUCAGAAGCUAUAAAUAAAAGGUAGGUAAGCAUGCACUUUAACUGGUGCUAUGACCAUUCCAACAUCAUAACAGAAAACUGUUGUACACUACUGGAAGUUUGCUGUCAGCACGGUUAUCUCCAAGCUCACCUGCUAUUUCUACGAGGGAAGACCCCCUCUUCUAAACUGUUAUCAACUAACAGGCACAGAAACAUAAACGAGACAACACCCACCAGUUUGUAACGCCAGCAAGCCUUAAGGCGUGUUGGGCAACACCAAGUACCUCAGCUUUACUCGAGGAAGCAAAAGUUUAGAACGUGAGCUUCCACGUGGAAAGGCUGGGGUAGAGCCCUGCCGGCGCCAGGCAGCGCGUUUCCUCUGGAACCAUCUGUUCCCAUUUUGCCUGCAUGGAGUCGGUUUUGUUGACACAAGUGCAGCAGCCAGGGGCCCAAGCAGCGGCCGUGCUCCGGACGCCGGGUCCCAACUGCACGGCUCCCUUCAGCACGGGGCCCCUCCGGGAGCGCUGCAGCGGCGCGUCUGCAGCACAAGCAACGAACCACAGUCAGCUUUUGAGGAGUCUUUUUUAUUAAGAUAAAUCCAGCAAAAUUCCUAACAGUGGGUACAUACAACCGACCUGCCCUUUUAAAAGAAACGUUCGUAUUUCAUUUAAAAACAUGAUUACGCCUUUUUUUUUAUUAUUUAUUUAUUUAUUUUUCAAAACCGACAAAAUAAAAUUACAUUUGGGAAAACAACAGAUUUCCAGCUCUUAGGUUUUUUUUUUUUUUUUUUUUUCAUGAAAAUAGCUCACCUUCUUUAUAAAAGCAACCCACAGAACCACUGGAAUGUUUAACACAGUUAUCUGUUUUGAGACCUCCCCACUUUAAGAAACCAUACAACACAUACAAGGGUAAAAUUAAAAUCUGAAGUCUGUAAGCAUGACUUACACAAAAAGGGACACACUGACAGAAGUCAAAAGCUACCACCACUUAUUCUUUCCAUGUACCAUACAAACUAUUACAAUCACAAAAUUUAAAAACAAUGAUUUUUUUUUUGUUUUGUUUUGUUUGUUAGGGAUUUAAUUCCCAAGUAACCGAGAUGAAGAUGUUCCAUAAUUAAAUUCAUGCUAAAAAAACCUGCAUUUAUAAAAUAGUUGAUAAAAAUAUUCCUCUCUGUUAACAAUACAGCAUGGAGGUACGGAUACCAAAUGAUGGAGAUAUAGGGCAGGGUUAACAUUACUCGGACUUGGCUUCCUUAUCAUCAGAUGCUUCAGCAGCUGGUGCCUCAUUAGUUUUGGUAUCUCCAUUUUCAGAGUGGUUUUCUUCUUUUGCAUCCUCUUGUUUAGUUUCGUCUUUGCCUUUGGCUCCUUUCUUCCCUUUUGUUGCUGCCUUUUUGUCUUCCUUUUUAUCGUUUGCUGCCUUUUCUUUCUUAGGUGCUGCCUUUUUGGGCUUUGGCUCCGGUUUAGGCGGAGCAGGUUUAGCAGAUAGUCUGGCCGACCUUCUCUUUGGCUCCUCCUUCGCCUCGCCUUCAGCUGGAGCCUUUCUUUUGGGCAUAGUUGCACCUUAAUAGUUGACUGCAAAUAGAGAGAUCGGGAGAGGUGUAAAAAAUAGGAAGGGAACCGCCGAGAAACUGUUUUCGAGCGUCCUGCGGGAUUGCCAAAAAAAAAAAAAAGAAGAAAAAAAGAAAAAAAAAAAGAGAUGCCGACGGGCCCAAGAGUUAAUUGCAGCAGAAACUGAACAAAAAAAAAAUCCCCCCCUCUUUAUUGCAAACAGUAAAAUACACCAACACGCAACCAAACUGCAUGAAUGGGGAGCGCGAGAUGGGCCCAGCCGCAGAGUGACGGCCGCCGCAGCCAAUGGGCGCGCGGGAAGCGGCGCGGGGGGCGGGGCGGGGGCGGGGGGCGGGGCCGAGGCCGUAGCGCGAGAGACGCUCGCACACGGAGGGCCGGCGGCGGCCUUACGCUGUCUGCGCAGCGGAGCGGCCUAACGCGCGCGGUGAAUACGGCGCGGCGCCGCCGGCGGCCCCGGCGCGGCUCGUGGAGGGCGGGAGGCGUCGGUGCGAGGCGGCCCCUCGUCACUGCCGCUCUCGGAACGGCUCCGCGCGUCGCGGUGCUGCCCCGGCGGCCGCCGAGCCCCCCCCUCUCCCCCCCGUCUCCUCCUUCCUCGCGUCCCCCCAGAGGCUGGGAAAGAAACUUCCCCAAAGUUAGCGCAGGCCGCAGGACGACAACAUGGCGGCCGCUCCGUCCCUCGCGGGGCCGCCAUGGCGCGGGGCGCUCCCGCCUCGGGCCCGGGGGGGGGGCGGUGGCGGCGGGGAGGGUCCGCGGGAGCGGUACCUGAGGAAGGGGCUUCGGGGCGGCCCCGCGAGCCGCUGCCUUUGUCCGCAGGGAGCCGAGGUCGGGGCGCGGAGCUGCGUGCGGUGUUGGUGUCGGCGCGGGCAGGAAGGUGCCGGGCAGGGGGCAGGAGGAGGCGGCACGGAGCUGUGCAGCCGCGCAGCCCGAGUGCCUCCGGGACGGGCAGCGGCGGGCGGGGGCUGUCGGCCCCGGCUACAGCUGGUAGGCGCCGUUCGCUCGGCUGCGUCUCACCCCAGCGGCCCGAGGUGCUGUUUGGAGCGGGGCCUCGGGGUGAGGUAGACCCUGUGCUGAGGUCCCGGGCAAAACCGAUGCUUCGUUUUGUCCUAACUACGCGUUCCAGCAGGGCUCGUGGCACCUGUUAUGUCAGUCUCUGGGGAAAGCGCAGGGCAUACACGCACUGGAGCCGCUGCUCAAGGCAUGGCCUUACUCCUGGCAAAAGGCACUUGAACCUUUCUGGAAGCCCACAGUUAGGCACAAUCUGCAGUCUGACAAGAGUGUUUUGGCACUUAGCACUGUCCGUGCGACACAAGUUGCCCUGGCAUCUGAACUGGUUGUGAGUUAACUAAGGCUUCUCUGCCCAACACCUAGCUCGUGUAAGAGCAGUCUGCAACGUACAGCAGUUUUAGAUCAUCAUUUCACAUAAUGUUAUCAUGUCCUUAGUUGAAACAUCGUUUUUCUAGCAAAUUCUCUCAUGCGUUACAUUCUCAUAGUUCUUAUUUUCUAUACUUCUCUCAUUCUUAGGCUGCUCUGGAGUCCUUUCAGCCUUGCACUCUUCCUUACAUCUACACUGGGUUAACCAGAUUAGUUAUGUCAGUAUGGCGUUCGCCAACUUGGCAGUGGCGUCACCACGUUGGUUCAGAUUCUUUUUCUGAUCCCCUGUAAUCCCCAGAACCCUUUCAGCGAUGCUCUUAUCUGAACUGCUCCCCAUGUUCUUUACAAAUUCAUAAUGACUUUCUGAUUUGUCGCUUUUGAAAUUACCUCAUUCUCAAAGUACGUGUCAGUAUAUCUUCCUGGAACCUUGGAUUUACUCGGAACGGUUUUCCAUUCACAAGUUCACCUUUCUUCUCCUUCCUGCAGUCAAUCAAUGGGGAACCUGCAAAUUCCACGAUAUUUUUUUGUAGAUACACACCAGUUAUUUCAGAAGUUCUCUGGCUGGCCUCCUGAACUAUUUGAGUGUGUUUUCCAGGCACUGCCAACCUGAGUAACCACGUAACCAAUUCAAUGUAAUGUGUUCUUUCCUGCUGCUACUUGUUGUUGUCACCUCCCAAAAGCGUUGGGUUCAGUAACAGGUUACAGGGCAGUUUUGAAGGCUGAAGAAUCUAACGUGCUGGUUUUUUUGUGUGUGUGUGCCUUCCUUUUCUGUCAGCAGUGAACAGUAUUUUCACCUGUUUUGCUUUUAUUUCCAGUGCAUUUAGGUAUAACGUGUCCCUAUAUCCUCCUCUGGCACUCAUUUUGGACCUUUGUCUCUCGUUUUGUUCCUGCCUGCCCAUGGUUUUCUGCAGUGCUAAUUCUUAACAGUGUGCUUGUUUCCACUUUUUGCACAAUUUGGAAAGACUGCUUAUAUAUUCUAUAUAAUAUAUAUUCCAUUAGUGCUGCAUUACACUCUUGUUCAUGUUGGUUGUUAAUGCUCUCCCUGUGUGCCUUCUGUGUGAGGUGGUUUGUUGUUCUGUUGAGGCCUUUCUUUCAGUAACAGCUUUCCCUCCUUUCCCACUGAUCAUGACACCUUUAUAUUUUCAGCCAUUCUCUUUUAUUAAUCAAGAUUUUAAAUAGUGUUUCCACCCGUUUUCUCCAUCUUCUAAAUAAAAAAUUGCCUAAAACACAUUUCAGGAGACCUGGGUCUUCUUUCAAGACUCUGUGUCCCAUAAUAGAAGUUCUCCAUUGCAAACAAGGUUUGUGCUUCAGUUGCUUUUGCCAGUUGCCUUGAAAAGUUUCACCUGUCUGUAGUUGCUGUGUCGUUCUCCCUGUGUUCUGUGAAAAGUCUUGUUUGUGGAAGAGGAGCAGGAAUUCUCUCAAGUGCAGGUCAGCCUGUUCCCCUGAUGAGAACAACUUGCAUGACAGCACUUCGGUUGAAAGCUCAGGUGAAAAUAUGCACUGGAAAUUAAGGACAGACUUGAAAUUCACUUGGAAUUUCACAUUUCAUGUGCUUUGCUUUUGUGUUUUUCGAAUAUUUUGACUGCUCCAAAAAUGUUCAUUAAACCACAAACUAACCUGAAUAAUUGUUAAUUAGAAGAUCGCUUCCCUCUCAAUAGAUAGGAUAAACUGUGGCACGGUAUCGUAACACUGCAGCUGUCAUUGUGCAGACCUACAGACGUGGUUAUACCUAUGGAUAUUCUAAACACCUUUCCUUCAGGCCGAGUGGAAGGAGCACUUAAAUACUCUUUUAUCUAACAAUAACUGGAAAGAACAGGAAGUCACCUAUCAAAUAAAUGGGAAGGUGGCCAUGGCUGGUUGAGUUUUCUUCUAAGCCGCACAGGCAGCUGUAUGUUCAGCUGUGAUCGUAACCAAGCAGCAGGUAAGAGAAGCACUCACGUGCAUGGCCACAAUGAGGACCUUUACCCUUCCUUAAAGGAGGCCAUGCUACCAUGGGCGUUAAUGCAGUGGUACAAAUCUGAUCCACAUUCACAGAUGUUAAUCCCAGCACACAGUACGGGGCUUACACUGGUUUAUGACUGUACAGUAGCCUUAUGUGUGUUGUGGGAAGACAAAAAGUACUUGAUAUGACAUGUUAGAAUAUCACGGGGUAAUACACUUGGCAUACAGCCUGCCAGCACAAAAUUAGUCGGUUAGACCUUUCUGACAGAUUGGGUCCAGGGUGUAAGUUUAAUCUGAAGCAUUGAUUUGUGUCACAUGAUCUUUUUGGGUCAUUUUUCCUAGAACUGGUAUGGUAGGUUCAGUACAAAAAGGUCUAAGCCUGAGUUUAUGUUAUCAUAUCACCAGACUACAGAGAAAUUAUUAUUAGGGUUUUUUUGUGCUACUGUUUCUGCUAAAUUUUGUAUUCAGCAUAGGCAAAUGGACCAGGUUAUAGACUCACAGAGGCAAAACCUCCCCAUCUGCAAACAGAAACAUAGCAUGACUAUCUCAUAACCAAAACAACACAGCCAGCGCUCUGAACAUGCAAUCUAAACUACCCACACUAAACUUAUAGAGCAGUGCUCACAUGCUGACUAAUUUAUAGAAGGCCGGGAAAUUACAGACAAGUAAUGUGCAAGAAAAUGCUUUCAGACUGAAUCGAUCACAACUGUGCCCACUUUUUGCUUCCAAUCUCUGCACAAUCAAGCAAGACUCAGUCUUCUCUCUUUUGGUUCUGCGCUGGUUUCAUUCCUGGUUAUUCUGUUUAUUAAGCAGUCAUCUCAGGGAUCUGCAUCUCUCCAACGUCCUCCAAAGUGCUGUUAACCAUGUCUUGAAUGUUUUCAAAGAGGUGAACCUGAUGCGAGAGGACACCUCUAGCAUUUGAUGAAUAUUUUCCUCGAUCACCCUCUUGCGCCUAAGCAAUUCAAGACAUUUCUGAACAAAGGCAAAACGUCCACAGAAUCACUCCUGAGUGAUUGACUUCUAUCCUUCUUGAAACUUGUAACUUACACACACAACCUGCAGGAAGACUGAAAAAGCUUUUCAGUCUCAUCAGGAGCAGGAAGUCUGAGAGACGUUUUCUAGAGCCAAUCUGCUAUCAAGGUAUACAAAGGAAUACACAGAAGAGACAAAAUUGGAGCAGAAGCCCCAGAUGAGCUUUUUGCACGUGCUUAUUGUGAAGGAGGCUGGGGCAGUUCCCAGACAGGAACUCACAAACUUGUCUGAGGAUCUGUCUCGCGCUGAAGCAUCAGUAAGGGUUAGAAUAAAUGGACAAAGUGAAUAAUAACACACUAACCAUUGCCAGAUGGUCCUCACCACCCGUGCAGAAGUGUGCAAGUCUUCCUUUAAAACUGCUUCCAUACAAAGCCUCAUGAGACAACUAAUGCAGCACCAGCUUUUAUUAACAGGUCCUGGGGAGACUCGGCACAUGGGGAGGCUGUGACCAAGAGAGCAUAGCGAAGAUUUUCAAAGUCACACCACCUUUAGCACUUGUUUUUCACAAGCCUUUCCAACAGCCAUUUUGAGAUGCCCAGAACACAGCAGGGCUAGUCGGGGCACGGCUUGGAGCUGGUGGGAUGGAUUGCCACUGCUGGGUACAAGGAAAACGAGAGACAAAACUGUAAGAAGGGGUUGCAGCUGGCCAGCCUUUGCCUGCAUGGAGGUCAGCAGAGGGACGAGAAGCUUCAGGGGCAGGGAGCAGUGGGAAUCCGCAUGAGGCCUCUGCUGCUGAGCCCUGGACCUGCUGCUGCAUGCAGUCAUGUUACAGCCUGUGCCCACAGCAGUGCUGGGUGCUUUUUUUUUUUAUGUACAAGAUAUGGUCUGCCAAAAAUGUUUGCCAGAGCUGUUCUGUGUUUGUCUGUUUGUCUUGGCACACCUGCUCACAGCAAUUCUGGUUGUGCCUACCUCUGCAGGUAGUGCGGUGCAAUGGGAAUGCAUCUGAGCAGUGACACAACUGGUGCAGAGGUCCCCAUGUCCACACAAGCUGGAGGGUACUGUGUGUAUACCUGGAGCCUUCCUCCAGCCCAGUGUCAUCUGAAUGUCAUGAAAUGAGUGGCCGUGAGGCUGCUCUGUGCCAGCAUGUCCAAGCACGGUGUGGGAGGCGUGCUCCAAAAGCACCCUGCGGAUCCAAACAGCAGCACUGAUGUGGGUGCUCCAAGGUGCUCAAAAUGGACGUCCAAAAUGGAGGUCCAGGAGAGGGGCUCUGUAAGCACUGAACUAUCAGAACAAUGUAACAAUAUUAAGACAAAAAGUAGUAUUACCCCCCGAAAAUUAAUCUUUAUAAACUAUCAGAACAAUACAACAUUAUUCAAAGAAUUUAAAUCGCCCGUUGCAUGCUGAGAAUCAAACCGACGGCUCCAGCGCUGCUCAGGGGUGGGACCGCCGAGUGAAGCCCAGGCCCGGCCGCUUCCCCCCUCCGGCCCGGCACAGCGGCGGCCGUGCCAGCAGGGGGCGCGCCCCGGCAGCGAGCCGCCCCCCGCCACGGCCUUCCCGGCCGUCCCUGCCCGCCCGCCCGCGGCCGGAGGGAGGGCUCUGCGGGGAGAGGGCAGCUUCGGGGAGGUCCCGGCGUUUGAACGUGAAUUGAAGCGUGCGCUUCCUCUUAGUGAAGGAGAGUGAGGUGGUCUUGCAUUUGCAGCGGGUUUCAGGCGCAGACCUUUGUCGGGAAAUCAUUGUCGCUAAAGAUAUGAAAAGCUGUUUUGACUGAUGAAAGCAAAAUGUUUUCCACCUAGCCCUGCUUUGAUCCUGCUCUUAUCUGUAAUAUUCAUAGUGAUGAUGUCCAGUGAUGCUUUGGUAAACAGCCCUACAAAAACGAGUACUGGUGCAAGCCAAAGUCCAGGGAAGGGGGUGGAUUGAUGUUACUUUUGUUUGCUUUAUGUCAUACAGACACACACCUGUACAUUUUAACAACUCCAUCAGUCCCACCACAGAGGUAAUGAGUAGAUGAAAAGAAAGAAAAACGCACCCCAUGCUCUGUGUGGUGUCUCACUGCCUCAUGCUGCCUUACCCAAUUACACAUGGAAGUGCAGAACCGUAGCCUGUCUUCAUUUCCAAAUGAGAACAGGAGAAGCAGAGCUCCUGGAGCACCCCGGCUCUCCUAUUGAGAAUGCUGAGCUGAGUUUCUGACCAACUGCACGUUCCUCUGUUUCUGUUCAGACAAAUCAAGAUCAUCUUCUCCAGCAAUAUUAAAAACAAAAUAAGGAAACCCGGUGCAUUCUCAUGUUACUUGCCAACUGACUAAAUUCUGGAUUUAUUUCUCCCUGUUGUUACAAAGAAGCUGUGGAGCAUUUGGAGCACGUGUGCUUCCUGACCUUUUGUACAGGAGGGAUUCUGCACUUGAUCAGUGUAAUGUCUUUUAUUGCCAGAUUCUACUCCAUUUGUCUUUUUAAAGGUAGUUUACUUUGCCAGUACUCAAAAGGUCCCAUCCCGGUCUUCAGUUUAAGCAAGUAAUAAGUAGAUCUUUGCCAUUACUUGCAACAUUUUACCUUAAAUACCCAUACUACCCCUGGAUGGCCCAUCCAUUGGGUGUUCUGCCUGGCUGGACAAGGCAAGGGCUGGUGGUGGGCAUCAAGGAGUACUUGCACGCACUCUUGCUUCAUAAUUCAUCAAAUAACCUACAGCAAAGUUAAACUGUACCGUUUUCCUUUCGUGAAAGAGACAGGAAUAAAAGAUAUGACCUGACAAGAUGACCUUCUAAAAACAUACACUACAGUAAGUGGGAAAAGGAACUGAAGAGACAAUUACUGCUGUUAUAUACAAACUACUUCCUUGGCUGCACAAGAACAGUGGAUUUUCCUCCUAGAGGCAUAAUAUCACAUUUUUUUAUUUUGAGGUUUUGGUCUACCUGGAGAAGGAUAAUUAAACACUUCAGAGUUGUUUAACUUUGAAAGCAAAAAUAAUGCCAUGGAUUUUACAUGAGUAGUCUGGGAAUAAAAGCCAUUGCACUUUUCUGCCAAUAGAGUAGAAAAUUUACUAUUGCGAGUCAAGAAAACCUAGUCAUGUCUGUAAUACCCAACCGGUGUAUAACUCUAACAUUAUAAAUCUUCUUUCAUGAAGAUAAAAUGCCUUUUAAAGUGCACUUCUGAGAGCAAUGAUUAUGGCAGGUUUUUCUCGGGGAGGAAAGGCAGGGUGCAGUGCAUUGCAGGGGAAUUUCAACUCUGAGAAGCUGCAGGGCGUUGUGAGGAGGAGAGCUGGUCAGAGGGCAGUCGCUCAGCCUUGCAAGGACAGGUAAACACGGAGUUCAAUUCAAUAUAUCUACCCAGGUCUCCACCUGUAUUGUUUUCAUUUUGGCUGAUAAGCUUUAGUUUCUGCCUCUGCUGUUCCUUACUGUUAAUCGGAUCACAGAGAAUCGUGCUUCAGAGGAGAUGGGAAUUAUGAGCGUACUUCUCAAACGGCACUGAAGGAAGCUGUGCAAACACAUCUGAAGAAACGUUCCUGGAAGAAUUUUAAUCUGUUUGUUUUAAAAAGCACACUGCUUAUUUCUAUUAAAUUUUGAACCUCCCCAAACUGGGCGGUUUUUAUUGCGUAUCACCAUCCUAAUGAAAUAUUUUGGCUUACUGCAUUUCCAAAACACACAUCAACCUCAUGACACUCUCAAAGAUUCAGAUAAACAUUAAAAGUAACACCAAAAUUAGGCAUGUCAUCUUCAAAAUUGUUCUCUCACUGUUGAGAAAUUAAUGACAUGAAUGUGAGAGAUUUAAUUCAACAGACCCUUUAAUCCAACAAACCCUUUUAGACAAUCAUGCCUGUGGUAAGAAAAACCACCUAAUAAUUUGACAUAGGAAGGCUUGUUUUGUUUGAAAACAUCAUUUUGAAAAUACCUUCCUCCUGUUUCCAAGACCAGAAAAAACACCUUUCUUUAAUCUAAGCUUGUAGAUGGUAAAAUUUCAGCUUGCUGUGUUUAUCAUGAUAAGUAUUUUCCAUUUUCUGUGAAGUUGCUCUCAGAAUGUAUAACAAAACAUUUAAGGUGGUAGUUGGAGUACUUUCCUAUGGAGGUAAGUGGGAGACAGGUGCUGAAUAUAAAUUUCCCUAAAUAAAGUGUUACCAUUACUAUAAUAAUUAAGAACUCUUUGAGGUCUCAUCUAGCAGCUGUAAUUAAUAGAAAAGAUAAAAUACCAUGCAGUGAAAUUGCAGUAUGUUAUGGUUCCAGGUUUCCCAUUGGGGUUUCAACUGAGCAGCAAAGUCCCUUUCCAAGGCACAGGACUCAAGGAGAUGAGAAGCAGAGGGGCUGUGGGCAGACUCAAGUGGGACCUGCGAGAGCUUCUUUGAUGCUUUGUGUGGAAGAUGCACUACAACAAUUCUGGGAAGCCAAAGAACAGAGCCUUUGAACUCUACCAUACGCUCAGGCUACCUUUAUUUUGGCAUGGGCUAACAUUUCGCUUGGAGAGCAACUUUUACAAUGAAAUAAAUUUUAAAAGGCACUUCAGUGUUAUCAAACAGUAACAUCUACCCAUCCCACUGGACUCUCUCACCUCUCCAAGUGACAAUCUGCAACAUCUAAGGGUGCCCAUGGGCAGGAAGCUCAAUGCUGGAAUCGCAAGGUGCUGCCUCAUGCACUCACUCCAACGGAAAGCCGAGGAAUGGAGCAUCUCCUGCCAGAACAAGGGCACUGGCCAUCAGCUGAUGCUAGAACCUGACCGCUCCGUGUCUAAGCUUCUCCUCUCCCGCCCUCCUGUCUCUCCUCUCACUCCCAAAAUAAAGUUCCUGACAAG
rnacentral:lncRNA from 1 species